ensembl:lncRNA
CUCAGUUGGGCUAAGUGUGAAAACUAAGUUUAAUUCUCUGAUAAUUAUCUUAAAAUCUUGACAAAAAAGGUCUGUAGGAGUUGGUGAUCUUUUUGAAAUGAAAGAUGCUUUGAGAAGAAUACAGUUUGGAGGCUUCAAAGCUGUUCUGGGGAAAAUUAAGUUAACAUACAGAAUGUUAACUCUGCAUAUACUAAUUGUGUAUUUCUUGACUGUUUUGUUUUCCAAGGCAAUUAAAUGUAAACCAAAGUUGGCAGCUGAUUCUCUGUCACGGGUGCUUCACCUGAUAACUGCUCUUCUUGGCAUUUAGCAUAGGGGAGAAUUUUUCUACUUCAUAGUUCUGCUUUCAAAACAGGCCCUGCUCAUCCAUAUAGGAGAUGCUUCAAGAGCCUGUAGGAGCAUCAUGUCCUGUUUGUGUGCGGCUGAUUUUGAUCCUGAUAUUAAAUUACUAGAAAUGCAGGGCUGUAUGUAUGUUGGGACUUAUUUUAAGCAGUAGCAACCUGUGAAUGCUGUUGCAAUAGAAUUUUCUUCUGGAAUGUUUUUUUCUCUAUUCCUUGUGUGUGUGGAUUUGCAGAAUUGUUACUUUUUCAGGAUUUUCUUUAAAUCCAGGUGGCUUUGCUGUGUGUUAUUUCUCAAGGCAGCUGGGAGACAAGGAAAUACUCAGUCAACUCUCCAUCUGCAGAUGGAUAUGUAGAAAUGUCUUGGCAGCAUAGAGCCCAGAAAAUGUGUUGUUGCUCUUUCAAAAUGUUUCAGGAUCUUACGCUGAUGGAGCACUGUCUUUAACUAUAAGGCUUCCUGAAUGACAUGGAUGCAGCACCGCUGCAUUCAGUGGCUGACACGGAGCUGUGUGUGCUGACGGGCAGCGCUGCUGUUCUCACGAACAUCAGCCGGCUGAAAAAAGAGCAGACUGAAGCCUCAUGAAGUUCAGUGGAGUCUGCAAAUUGAAACAGAAUAACCUGGAAAGCAACUUUGCUGCACAUGACAUCACUUUCCUGGAGGACACCAAGUUAACAUGAGUCAGCACAGUGCCUUUACUUAGGAAGAGAGAAGCCAGAGGCUGAGACAAGUGAUUAUUUCUGUCUACUUGGCAUUUACGUGACUGCAUCUGAAGCAGUGUCUGCUUUGGGCUUCCCAGUAGAGAAGAGAUGCUGAUGUACUAGGGCAGUCUAGGGGAAGACUACUAUCACGAUUAGGUAACGGGAGCAUACAAUGUAAAAGGAAAAGCUGGGCGAGCUGGGUGUCUUCAGUGUUGAGAGAAGGCUGGGGGACAUUAUAAGCACUUUUCUGAAGGAGUUGCUCUUACUUUAAAGACACCUAUUAUAAGCAGCAUGUGUAUAUGUAUGAUUGUAGACUGCCAUAUAGGAUUUCUCUAUAUUCCUUUACAAAAAGACAUAGCUACUGGCAUGUGCUGUUAUGCAGAAUAGCAUGGGUUUAUUGGUUUCUGUAUUGACAAAGAUUUGAAGUUAACAGUUUAGUGCUUUGAAUAUGACAUGUCAAGGACGAAAUAGACUCGCUCAUAUGCAGAGCUGCCUGUGGUUUGUACCUAUGUGCUUAACAAAGGAAUAGCAAGCUAUGUUCAUUUAGCUAGAAUUGGAGUUAGAUGGCAGUGUAUUCUAAUCUAAAAUAAUGUGCUGUGAUGUUUAAAUAAAAAGAGAUGACAGAGG